UACACUAACCCUAACCCCAACUUAACAGUCUGCUUAUAAUCUUCUGAAAAUUAGUUGACAUGUAGAGAACUUAAAUUCAACUAACUGACUAAUGAAAUACAGUGUGACUUACAUUGUACUUUUUUCACUUCCAGUCUUGACGGACAAUUAUAUAACAAUUAUAAAUGAUUAAUACAAAAAUACUAGUGGUUAAGAUUGAUGUUUGGAAUUGGUAAAAUGUGCUUAAAAAUACAAUCUAAAUAUUAACUUGCAUAAUAAUUUUGCACAAAAUGUAGUUUGUGUAUUUGCACAAAAACAACUCAAAUUUAAUUAUUCAACGUUAUGGGGGCCUAGGUUCUUGCAGUUUUAAAAAAACAAAAAUGUACCUCUUGGUGGAGCUCCUUCAUGAAGAAAGUACCGGAUCUGUAGCAAAGUUUUAGUACUCAGAGGGUCACUCAUGGUAGCCUCUAUACAAAAAGAUAGACUGGAUAUUGAAGAGUGUCCGGUUGAUGGAGGCACCACAACCAGAAAAAGGUUGGACCAAGCAUCAGGCCAGAAUUCCACAUGAGUUGGCAUCUUUUGACAAGAUUUCCCAAAAAUGAAUACAAUCUUGGUACACUUCCAAUAUCUCUGAAUCUGAAAUAUCUGCAAAAAAAAAAUCCCAAAUUGCGGAAAAGCAACAGCAGGCCUGUUUUGAGACCUUCUCCACGUGUCAAGAAGUACCUGUGAGGUUCUGCCAGGAAGUGGAGCCACAGGACACUUGGGAUAAACCUCAACCUGAAAAAUCAAGAGGACACGUUUUCUAUGCUCAGGCAUUUCAAACGAGACAGAGCACCACAUAAGUUGUUUGUCUCACUUCAGCUUUUCCAGUGAGCAUGUCUGAUGGAAACGAGCAAGAGGAUGCUUUGGGGACCACACAUUGAGCUAUUGGGUACAAUCCCUUAGAAGUCACAACCUCUGAACUGAAAACCUCAAGUACCCACCAGGCUAGAGCAAAGAGGACCUACCUACUGUGUUGAGCUGUGCAGAGGGCAAUAUUGAAGAAGCUUAAUGAGCUGGACAUGAAGAUUAACCAUCUAACUUCAGUGGUCCAGUCUCUUGCUUCGGCCAAGUGUUCAAAUGGUGGUGGACAUUGAGAAUUACAUCUUUCCUAUUGAAACAAUGGAAGACCUUGAACAACUGGAAAAGGCAAUUAGCCGAAAAUCCAAUGAUGGAAAAGAUGAUAAAGAGGUUAUCCAUCAGAGGAGGACAAACUCUAAAAAUUUAGAGUUAUGGCGUAUUUGCUCCAAAGUGUUCGUUCCAGUAGCCAAACAGCUCAACUGGUGUGGAGGAGAAAAAAAGAGGACUAAAAAACACAAAUAUUGGGACACUUGUGAUAGGUGCAGCUGAGGAACCCCGUGCUUCCGUCUUCAACAAGGCAGAAACAGAAAACAUUUUAAAGACUUCCUCCGCUUGGCCCCAGAAAGAAUGGACUCUUAAGCGACUUGAUCACUUUAAAUGUGUUUUGU